rnacentral:rRNA from 1 species
UACGUAGGCAGCGAGCGUUGUUCGGAAUUACUGGGCGUAAAGAGUGUGUAGGCGGUGCUCUAAGUUCGGUGUGAAAUCUCCUGCUUAACUGGGAGGGUGCGCCGGAAACUGGAGUGCUCGAGCGUGGGAGAGGAAAGCGGAAUUCCUGGUGUAGCGGUGAAAUGCGUAGAUAUCAGGAGGAACACCUGUGGUGUAGACGGCUUUCUGGACCAUAGCUGACGCUGAGACGCGAAAAGCGUGGGGGAGCAAACAGG